UACAGAGGGGGCAAGCGUUAUUCGGAAUUAUUGGGCGUAAAGGGCGCGUAGGCGGUGCGGUAAGUCACCUGUGAAAUCUCCUGGCUCAACUGGGAGCUUGCAGGCGAAACUGCCGUGCUGGAGUGUGGGAGAGGUGCGUGGAAUUCCUGGUGUAGCGGUGAAAUGCGUAGAGAUCCGGAAGAACACCGGUGGCGAAGGCGGUCUGCUGGGGUAAUGCUGACACUGAGGAGCGAAAGCUAGGGGAGCAAACGGG
rnacentral:rRNA from 1 species